rnacentral:rRNA from 1 species
CAGUCGCCGCGGGAAAACGAGGGGGGCAAGCGUUGUUCGGAAUUAUUGGGCGUAAAGGGCGCGUAGGCGGUUUGGCAAGUUUGGUGUGAAAUCUUCGGGCUCAACUCGAAGUCUGCACCGAAAACUGCCGGGCUUGAGUAUGGGAGAGGUGAGUGGAAUUUCCGGUGUAGCGGUGAAAUGCGUAGAUAUCGGAAGGAACACCAAUGGCGAAGGCGACCACCUGGACUGAUACUGACACUGAGGUGCGAAAGCGUGGGGAGCAAACAGGAUUAGAUACCCCCGUAGUCCCUGUCUCUUAUAC